UUCUUUCGAUCAAGGGCGAGAGUAGGAGUAUCCAACAGGAUUAGAGACCCUGGUAGUUCCUACUUAAAACGAUGCCGACAGGAGUUUGUCAUUUGUUAAUGGCAGAAUCUUUGGAGAAAUCAUAGUUCUUGGGCUCUGGGGGAACUACGACCGCAAGGCUGAAACUUGAAGGAAUUGACGGAAGGGCACACCAGGGGUGGAGCCUGUGGCUUAAUUUGAAUCAACACGGGGAAACUUACCAGGACCAGAUGUUUUUUAUGACUGACAGGCUUCGGGUCUUUCAGGAUAUUGUUUUUGGUGGUGCAUGGCCGUUGGUGGUGCGUGGGUUGACCUGUCUAGCGUUGAUUCAGCUAACGAGCGAGAUUAUCGCCAAUUAUUUACUUUGCCGAAGUCCUUCGGUUAAAGUUCUAAUUGGGACUCCCUGCGAUUUUAGCAGGUGGAAGAGGGUAGCAAUAACAGGUCCGUGAUGCCCUUUAGAUGCUCUGGGCUGCACGCGUGCUACAAUGUUAGGAUCAAUAGGACUGCGAGCCUGAGAGGGUGCGCUACUCUUAUAAUCCCUAACGUAGUUGGGAUUGACGUUUGUAAUCAGCGUCAUGAACCAGGAAUCCCUUGUAAAUGUGUGUCAACAACGCACGUUGAAUACGUCCCUGCCCUUUGUACACACCGCCCGUCGCUCCUACCGAUUGGAUGACUCGGUGAAAUCACCGGAUGCUUACGAGCAGAAAGUGAUUAAAUCACGUUAUCUAGAGGAAGGAGAAGUCGUAACAAGGUAACGGUAGGUGAACCUGCCGUUGGAUCAGUU
rfam:Trichomonas vaginalis G3, whole genome shotgun sequence.